AUUCCUACGGGAGGCAGCAGUGGGGAAUUUUCCGCAAUGGGCGAAAGCCUGACGGAGCAACGCCGCGUGAGGGAUGAAGGCCUCUGGGCUGUAAACCUCUUUUAUCAAGGAAGAAGAUCUGACGGUACUUGAUGAAUAAGCCACGGCUAAUUCCGUGCCAGCAGCCGCGGUAAUACGGGAGUGGCAAGCGUUAUCCGGAAUUAUUGGGCGUAAAGCGUCCGCAGGCGGCCUUUCAAGUCUGCUGUUAAAAAGUGGAGCUUAACUCCAUCAUGGCAGUGGAAACUGUUGGGCUUGAGUGUGGUAGGGGCAGAGGGAAUUCCCGGUGUAGCGGUGAAAUGCGUAGAUAUCGGGAAGAACACUAGUGGCGAAGGCGCUCUGCUGGGCCAUCACUGACGCUCAUGGACGAAAGCCAGGGGAGCGAAAGGGAUUAGAUACCCCUGUAGUCCUGGCCGUAAACGAUGAACACUAGGUGUCGGGGGAAUCGACCCCCUCGGUGUCGUAGCCAACGCGUUAAGUGUUCCGCCUGGGGAGUACGCACGCAAGGCUGAAACUC
rnacentral:rRNA from 1 species